rnacentral:rRNA from 1 species
GAUGAACGCUGGCGGCGUGCCUAAUACAUGCAAGUCGAGCGAACGGACGAGAAGCUUGCUUCUCUGAUGUUAGCGGCGGACGGGUGAGUAACACGUGGAUAACCUACCUAUAAGACUGGGAUAACUUCGGGAAACCGGAGCUAAUACCGGAUAAUAUUUUGAACCGCAUGGUUCAAAAGUGAAAGACGGUCUUGCUGUCACUUAUAGAUGGAUCCGCGCUGCAUUAGCUAGUUGGUAAGGUAACGGCUUACCAAGGCAACGAUGCAUAGCCGACCUGAGAGGGUGAUCGGCCACACUGGAACUGCGACACGGUCCAGACUCCGACGGGAGGCAGCAGUAGGGAAUCUUCCGCAAUGGGCGAAAGCCUGACGGAGCAACGCCGCGUGAGGGAUGAAGGUCUUCGGAUCGUAAAACUCUGUUAUUAGGGAAGAACAUAUGUGUAAGUAACUGUGCACAUCGUGACGGUACCUAAUCAGAAAGCCACGGCUAACGACG